CCUANGUGGGGCUGCAGUUGGGAAUCUUGCGCAAUGGGGGCAACCCUGACGCAGCGACGCCGCGUGCGGGAUGACGGUCUUCGGAUUGUAAACCGCUUUUCCCAGGGACGAUAAUGACGGUACCUGGGGAAUCAGCCCCGGCUAACUCCGUGCCAGCAGCCGCGGUAAGACGGAGGGGGCAAGCGUUGUCCGGAAUUACUGGGCGUAAAGCGCUCGUAGGCGGUCGCGUACGGCGGUGGUGAAAGCUCCCGGCUCAACUGGGAGAGGCCCGCCGCAACGGCGUGACUCGAGGGUGGUAGAGGCAGAUGGAAUUCCUGGUGUAGCGGUGAAAUGCGUAGAGAUCAGGAGGAACACCCGUGGCGAAGGCGGUCUGCUGGGCCAUGCCUGACGCUGAGGAGCGAAAGCUAGGGGAGCGAACGGGAUUAGAUACCCCUNUANUC
rnacentral:rRNA from 1 species